AAUGCGAUAUGUAAUGUGAAUUGCAGAAUUCAGUGAAUCAUCGAAUCUUUGAACGCACCUUGCGCUCUUGGGUAUUCCUGAGAGCAUGUCUUUUUGAGUGUCG
rnacentral:rRNA from 1 species